AUUGAACGCUGGCGGCAGGCCUAACACAUGCAAGUCGAACGAGCGGCGGACGGGUGAGUAAUGUCUGGGAAACUGCCUGAUGGCGGGGGAUAACUACUGGAAACGGUGUCUAAUACCGCAUACCCUCAGAUGUGCCCAGAUAGGAUUAGCUAGUCGGUGUGGUAACGGCGCACCUAGGCGAAGAUCCCUAGCUGGUCUGCGAGGAUGACCAGCCACGAUGGAACUGAGACACGGUCCAGACUCCUACGGGAGGCAGCAGUGGGGAAUAUUGGACAAGGGGCGAAAGCCGGAUGCAGCAAUGCCGCGUGUGUGAAGAAGGCCUUCGGGUUGUAAAGCACUUUCAGCGGGGAGGCGUUACCCGCAGAAGAAGCACCGGCUAACUCAGUGCCAGCAGCCGCGGUAAUUC
rnacentral:rRNA from 1 species